AGUGAACGCUGGCGGUAGGCCUAACACAUGCAAGUCGAACGGCAGCACAGAGGAGCUUGCUCCUUGGGUGGCGAGUGGCGGACGGGUGAGGAAUACAUCGGAAUCUACUCUGUCGUGGGGGAUAACGUAGGGAAACUUACGCUAAUACCGCAUACGACCUACGGGUGAAAGCAGGGGACCUUCGGGCCUUGCGCGAUUGAAUGAGCCGAUGUCGGAUUAGCUAGUUGGCGGGGUAAAGGCCCACCAAGGCGACGAUCCGUAGCUGGUCUGGGAGGAUGAUCAGCCAAACUGGAAAUGAGACACGGUCCAGACUCCUACGGGAGGCAGCAGUGGGGAAUAUUGGACAAUGGGCGCAAGCCUGAUCCGGCCAUACCGCGUGGGUGAAGAAGGCCUUCGGGUUGUAAAGCCCUUUUGUUGGGAAAGAAAUCCAGCUGGCUAAUACCCGGUUGGGAUGACGGUACCCAAAGAAUAAGCACCGGCUAACUUCGUGCCAGCCGCCGCAGUAA
rnacentral:rRNA from 1 species